rnacentral:lncRNA from 1 species
AGAUCAGGUCUUGCUAUGUUGCCCAGGCUGGGCAUUUGUGAGUCUUGAUAUAGAAAUGUGUGUUCACAGUCAUUCCCAAGGCCUAUAGGGAAGACACAUUCUAGUGACUGUUAGUAAGGGUCCAUAUCAGGAAGAGCUAGAAAAUAAUUCAAGAUGAUUUUCAAACAAAUUUCAGAGAGUCUGAUUAUCUUUAUUCUUUAUGAUAAAAAUAUGUGUAUCUUAUAGCAAUAGGAAGAACCUGCUCAUCUUAGUAGAGUGCGUGAAUUUGAAGUCAGGAGGUUUGGUUUCUGAUCUUAACUCAUUCUUUAAGUGACAGAGAGUUCAAUUCUUUGGUCAUUAUUUUUUCAUCUGUAAAAUAAGGGAUUUGGGUAAGAUCAGUGGUUCUUAGCUGGGAGUGCACUGUCCUCCUCAAGGCGUGUUAGGAACUUUGGCUGUUUUUUUCUGUGAAGACGCUCAAGAAGUUUGUCUGUGGCUUGGGGAACAUUGACUUUUGGUGUUAAGUGCCAUGUAGAGCUUUCUGGUUGACUUAAUGCUAAUCAUGUCCACUUAUUCAGGGGCUACUUGUCUUCAUUAAUUUACUUACUGAAGGAGGAAACUACAGAACAGAUUUUAAUCAGGAAAAUGCUAUUUUUUUCUAUCUAACUUUAAGAAAAGCUGGCAGAUUUCUUUACGGUAAUGCCUGAAACCUAAAAUGCCUGAAAAGGGAAGGAAAGACAUCGUUUGCCUACACCAUAGGGCAUUCCAGUGACUCAGAAGAAAGGAUCUAAAGCAAACAGGGCCAAAUUCCUAAAAUUAGUGCUGUCUGGAUAAUCUCAAGAGACCAAGAUACCAGGUCCUCCUAUCAGGUUAGACCUAAGUGAUCAGCUCUCUGUUCUUAUUUUGUUUUGUGAAUUUCCGCUUAAUAUCUCUAAACCAAACUAUUCAGCCUUCAUAUAACCUCCCUUUGGAGAAAUUCAAAAGUAUCUUCAAGCACCAUUAACUUUCACUUGGGUUUGCCAAGAAAAAUUGUUUACCAAGAAUUACACACUUGACUUACACUCUUAAUGGAUGGUUUAAGCUUCACCUGAAGAUGCUGUAAGAUUUUCAGGAAGUGAGACAAGGUGCACUUCAUAAAAUGAGACAUUUUUCUCCACUUUAGAUUAUUGCUGGAGUUCACAAAUCCUAAUGGUAUUUGAGUUUGGAAUGUUUCCUGUGCUUUCAUUCUUUCUGAAGUACAUCAAACAGAAAUAAUAAAGGCACUCCAGCACUGCCCUGGCUUGCUGGAAUAUUUCUUGAGAAAUUUUGAUUGCUAAAGAUUGCUUCCCCAACUUUGGAGAAGAAAAAGUAAUUUAGGAUAAGUCAAGCAUCUCCCCGUGGUAGAAAUUUGUGUGAACCAAAACAUCAACUUCCAGGAGACUUACCCUUUGCUAGUUACAUCAUUUUAGGCCUCAGAUGCCUACUAGAUCAAUAUAACUCAGUGGAGAUGCAGCCAUUUUGCCUGUGAGAGUUGAAAAAAUAAAAUUUCAUAGACUUAAAAUGAUGGCUCAAGGAUAGAGAGUAAAAUAUCUAAAAGGAAAAGCGAAAUUCUAAAAACCCUGUACCCUAUUAGGUUUCGUAUAAAGCAGAUUUAAAGAGCAAUAGAUAAUCACUGUGUAAUUGGUUUUACUUUUAGAUAACUUGAAAUACAAGUAGGGAAAACAGAUUUCUCUUUAUUUUUAGAAGUGAGUGUUUCUUGCAAUAGCUUGAAGAGGUUUCUUACAGGUUCUCUGAAAUUAUACCUCUGCUGCUUAUUCUUGGUGUCUCCCUCAUACCUCUCAGCAUGUUCUCCCUUUUCAUCCACAGUUUCUUACUUCUCUGCUCUUGUGAGGCUCAGGGCUUCCCUCCUAAUGUCUCCCUUUCCUUUCUUCUGCUCCAAGUUCCCAGGGCUAGGAAACAAGAGCGUGAUCUCAUUGCCCAGUAUAUAUCAUAUGUUCUGUAUCUCUCUAUCUCACCAUAGACUGCAAAACUUUUGGCACUAACUAUCACAUGUGGAAAUUAUAUUAUGGUGAUUUCAAUUCCUUGAACACUGACUUUCAGAGAAAUAUUAUGAAUUUCAUCCUCAUAUCAAAAACUUGCAAGAUCAGGAUCUUUAUUAAUUAUUGAGGAAAUCUGGCAGAGAAGGGUUGCUGGUUAAACCCCCAAUCCCUUAGAUGUUACAUGACUCUUCAGUUAUUUUUAGCCAACAGACUUUACUCCUCCCCUAGACUAAACAGAAGAGGCAUUGUUGAGAACAUUAAAAAAAAGAUAUGAGAAAAUUGCUUUCGUUUCUAACAAAGUUUUAUUCCACAGAUCAAAGGAAUGGAAGUAAUUGAUUUUUAAUCUGACUUACUUAAAUUGUGCUAGAUAAGUUCAGAAUGUUUAUGAAAGGCAGAAAUGUUUUCUCUUCAGAAACUUGCCAUUAAUUACAAGGAAAAUUGAUUGAGUGGUCUGUCAGUUCACAUCUUGUUUCCUCCUCCUCCCUUCAUGCUCUGUGCCAGCUCAUCUGGUCGGUGAGGCAGGGUUUCUGUGUCUGCAUCACAUUGCCCUGGGAUCACCUUCCUAGUUCUCUCCUGCUCACUCAUCCUCCCCCAGUUACGUGAUCCCACAGAGGCCCUAUUGAAUUAGUGGAAACCAAAGGCUUCACACUGGAGGCCACGGGGUUCAUCUGAAUUUUAAAUGUGUUUUAUUUAGCCCA